ACGAUGUCCCAUACAUAAAGCCGAUCAUGCUUUAGACGAAUGCAGAGUAUUUCGUGAUAUGACUUUAGAUAAGAAGCGUGAAACUGUCAUGCACUACAGCUUGUGUCUUCGAUGUUUCAAGGGUAAACACAAGGCAAAUAAAUGCAAAUCGAACGUGAAAUGUGAAAAAUGUGGCAGUCGUUUUCAUAUGACAAUUAUGCACUACGACAGUGAGCGAAAACCAAAAGUAGAUCAUCAGGAUCAUGGCGGGGAGACUACUCCAAUGGCUAUAAAUCAAACCAUACAAAAUCGUUGCACACAACUUUGUGGGAAAAUCGAAGGAGGAAGAUCCUGUGGAAAAAUACUCCUAGUGAACGUAUAUCCGUCAAAUGAACCUGAAAGGGCUAAAAGAAUGUAUGCUCUUAUUGACGAUCAAAGUAAUAAGACACUUGCAACACCUAAAUUCUUUGAUUCAUUCGACUUGGAAGGACAAACAUGUAUGUACACACUAUCAUCAUGUAAUGGAACCAUAACCAUUACUGGAAGGACAGCAGAAGGAUUUGUUAUAGAAACUGUAUCCGGAGAUCAAAGACUUAAGUUACCUAAAGUCAUAGAGUGUGACGAAAUUCCAAAUAAUAGGUCGGAGAUACCUACACCUGACAUCGCAGAGGCUUACUCUCACCUUCGAGAUAUUUCAUCAUUCAUACCCGAAUUUGACAAUUCUGCGGAAAUUUCAUUGCUGAUAGGAAGAGAUAUGACUCAGGUUCAUCAUGUUUUGUCACAGAGAAUUGGUGCUCCAAACGAACCAUUCGCACAGAGGCUUAUUUUAGGAUGGACAAUUAUUGGCGAAGUGUGUUUGGGAAAAUCUCAUAUUCCAAAGUCGGUCAACGUAAGAAAAACAGUAAUUCACGAUGGCCGUAAUACCAUGUUUGAUCCAUGUGACUCUCAAUUCACCAUUACAGAGAAAACAUCAUUUCAUCAAGAUGUAUUUGCAACGACUCCAUUUGAUGAAACACCAGGACUUUCUACAGACGAUCGAGUCUUUCUUGAUAUCAUGAGCAAGGAACUGCAUGUAGGACCAGAUGGCAAAUGGACCGCCCCUUUGCCAUUUCGACCUGAUAGACCUACAUUAUCUAGCAACUGUGCUCAAGCCUAUCGAAGGGCUGUGAUAUUGGACAAGUCAUUUCAGACCAACCCAUCAAAGAAGGACCAUGCUAUAGAAUUUAUGAACAAUAUAUUUAAGAAGGGACAUGCGGAGAUUGCACCCCCUCUACAACCAGAUGAAGAACAUUGGUUUUUGCCAAUAUUUGGUAUUUAUCACCCGAUGAAACCCGGAAGGAUUCGUAUGGUUUUCGAUUCGUCUGCGAAAUAUCAAGAUUUGUCUUUGAAUACAGUGCUUCUAUCUGGACCAAAUAUGACCAACAGUCUCAUUGGAGUAUUAAUGAGAUUUCGCAUGGAAAGCAUUGCAAUGACUGCAGAUAUUGAACACAUGUUUCAUUGUUUUGCCGUAUCCUCACACCAUCGAAAUUACCUUCGUUUUUUCUGGUACACGGACAAUGACCCAAAUAAACCCCUUACAGAAUACCGAAUGUGUGUCCAUGUAUUUGGCAAUACACCUUCCCCAGCUGUUGCCACCUUCGGCCUUCGACAAGCAGCUAUCACUGCAGGACCGGAAUUUGGAAAGGAUGUUUAUGAAUUUAUACAGAGGAAUUUUUAUGUGGAUGAUGCUCUUGUUUCAUUACCAAGUACACAUGAAGCAGUGGAUCUAUUACAACGUACACAACAAGCACUGAUUACCCAUGGAGGACUUAGAUUGCACAAAAUUGCAUCAAGUAAUCCUACGUUGAUGCAACAUUUUCCUACUAAAGACUUAGCAAGGGAUCUCAUAGAUCUAGAUUUUACCAAGGAGGAGCUACCUGCGCAAAGGAGCUUAGGUCUAGUAUGGGAUCUGCAAACUGACUCAUUCGGAUUCAGAUUGAAUUUGGAAGAAAGGCCAUAUACUCUCAGAGGGGUACUUUCAUGUGUAAACAGCCUUUAUGACCCUCUUGGCUUUAUCGCUCCGAUAACCAUUCAAGGGAAAAUACUCUUAAGGGAGAUGAUGCAAUCACCAUGUAUAGAUUGGGAUGCUGACUUACCCGAAGAAUAUCUUUCGACAUGGCUUACAUGGACACACUCGCUGAGCAUUAUUGAGGAUUUGAAGGUUCCCCGGAAAUAUUUAUCCAUUGGAUUUUCAGAACUUGGGAACAAACAAGUUUUGAUAUUCUCGGAUGCAUCAGAAUUGGCUAUAUCGGCUGUAGCUUACCUACAUGAUAACAGAGACAGCUCCCUAGGAUUCAUCAUAGGAAAAUCUAAAGUUGCUCCAAGGCUAGCUUCUUCUGUGCCACGUUUGGAAUUAUGUGCCGCAGUGUUAGGAGUCGAGAUUGCUUGUAUUAUCCAUGAUCAAUUGGACAUUAGCGCUGAUCAUUUCCAGUUCUUUAUUGACAGUAAGAUAGUAUUAGGAUACAUCCACAACCACACUAAGAGAUUUCUUACUUAUGUGAGUAACAGGAUUCAGCGCAUCCUAAACUUUACCUCAGCAGAUCAUUGGAACUUCAUUGCAACCAAUCAAAAUCCUGCCGAUCACGGUACUAAGCCUACCUCUGACAGAGCUGUCUACGACUCAUGGAUUUGUGGACCUGUAGAAUGGCUACAAUUUCAGGACAUAAACUCAAUUCAAGCUCCAAUGUUUGAACUUGUAGAACCGAACUUGGACAAGGAAAUAAAGCAAGAAGUUCUCAUUAAUAAAGUGCACUCAUCUAGUCCACCAUUUGGUACUCACCAUUUUGAAAAGUUUUCUUCAUGGAGGAAUCUUGUACAUGCUAUCGCCUCAUUGAAGUUAUUGGUCAGGAGAAGGAAACGGUGCAGUGAGAAUGACAAACAGUUAGGAGAUACAAAGGAAGACAAGAUACAUGCUCGCAAGGACGCGGAGGAAUUCAUAAUUCGCUUAAUUCAGAGUGAAAUUUUUGGAAAGGAAAGAGACGCACUUAAAGAUGGCAAAAUACUCCGUAAGGAUAGUUGCAUUUCUAAACUGGAUCCAUUUUUGAACAAUAAGGAUAUAUUGCAAGUUGGUGGCAGACUGCGACAUUCUGAAUUUGAGCUGGGUGAAAGAAAUCCAAUUCUUAUGCCUGGAAAACAUCGUGUUUCAAGACUGUUAGUUGUACACUAUCAUGAGGAAACACACCACCAAGGUCGCCAUAUAACCGAAGGUGCCAUAAGAAAUGCGGGAUGGUGGAUUACAGGUGCCAAACGUUUGAUAUCCCCCAUAAUACAUAAGUGUGUGAAGUGUAGAAGAGGACGCGGGAAGUUUCUCAACCAGAAAAUGGCUGAUCUUCCACCUGAGCGUUUGAAAUCAUCGCCUCCUUUUACUUAUGUUGGAAUUGAUUGUUUCGGUCCAUGGAAUGUGACAACGAGAAAAACACGUGGCGGCAGCGCAGACUCCAAGAGAUGGGCUGUGCUCUUUACAUGUUUGUGUUCAAGGGCUGUACAUAUAGAAGUGAUUGAACAAAUGAGUACACCGUCAUUUAUUAAUGCCCUAAGACGUUUCUACGCAACCCAUGGUGCUGUAAAAGAAUUCUACUCAGACAGAGGAACGAACUUCAUUGGAGCUGUCCGUGAACUCGGAAUCUCCUCAAUAAAUGUGGAGGAUCCCCCUAUUCAGAACAUGUUAACAGAAAGAAACACUGUGUGAAAGUUUAACACUCCCUACUCUUCACAUAUGGGAGGAACAUGGGAACGCCUCAUAGGAAUCACACGUCGCAUUUUAGAUGCCAUACUACUUGAAGUAAAACACACCAAGCUAACACACGAAGUGCUUUGUACAUUUUUUGCCGAGGUUGUUAAUAUUAUCAACAAUAGACCUCUCGUACCGGUGUCCAGUGAUUCCGAUUUACCAUCCGUACUUACUCCGAAUGUUUUGUUAACACAGAAGAUUGGGGACGUGUCCGAUGCCCCUUUGAACCUUAAUGUGCGCGAUUUAUACACUUCCCAAUGGAAGAUUGUCCAAGUCCUUGCUGACAGGUUUUGGGAACGUUGGCGCAAACAGUACUUACAGUCUCUACAGUCGCGCAACAAAUGGAAGGAGGUCAAACCAAAUAUUAAAGUUGGUGAUGUCGUCAUUCUAAAGGACAAUGAACAGCAUAGAAACCUUUGGCCUCUAAGUCGCGUUACCCGAGUGUUACCUAGUAGGGAUGACCUAGUUCGCAAAGUGGAAGUUGUCACCUUCGCAGAUGGAAUUAAACAUACUUAUGUCCGACCAAUUACUCAUGUGAUUCCACUAUUUUGACUUUACACAGACUAGAUGUAUUCAUCGCUUUACGUAUUUUGUUGUAAUGUUUCACAUUGUGCCUUCACAUGUUUCAUGUAAAUUUGGGAAAUUUAUGAUAUUUCAUAUCAGGCGGGGAGUGUUAUGUAUUCACAUAGGAAUUUGAGUUAUCUCUCUUAGACCAUGUUAGUAAUCAAGAUGAUCCGUCUCUGUUUGAACGUUAUUGGUUCCGUAAUUUAUAAUUCGUAGGUCCUGCGCACGAGAUUUGCUUGCUCCAAGCACAUAUGUAACAAAUUAUGGAUUGAUGCCUCGCUGCACUAUGUGUGACAUAUGAUAGCAAGAAAUGGAAGAAAUUCUUACCAGCCACAUUGUAUGACUAUGAAGUAUUGAGUAUUGAUGGAAAAGACACACCUGAUUCAAAGUAUGAAACCCAUUA